rnacentral:rRNA from 1 species
AGAGUUUGAUCAUGGCUCAGGAUGAACGCUGGCGGCGUGCCUAAUACAUGCAAGUAGAACGCUGAAGCUUGGUGCUUGCACCGAGCGGAUGAGUUGCGAACGGGUGAGUAACGCGUAGGUAACCUGCCUGGUAGCGGGGGAUAACUAUUGGAAACGAUAGCUAAUACCGCAUAACAGUCGACAUUGCAUGAUGUUGACUUGAAAGGGGCAAUUGCUCCACUACCAGAUGGACCUGCGUUGUAUUAGCUAGUUGGUGAGGUAACGGCUCACCAAGGCGACGAUACAUAGCCGACCUGAGAGGGUGAUCGGCCACACUGGGACUGAGACACGGCCCAGACUCCUACGGGAGGCAGCAGUAGGGAAUCUUCGGCAAUGGACGGAAGUCUGACCGAGCAACGCCGCGUGAGUGAAGAAGGUUUUCGGAUCGUAAAGCUCUGUUGUAAGAGAAGAACGAGUGUGAGAGUGGAAAGUUCACACUGUGACGGUAUCUUACCAGAAAGGGACGGCUAACUACGUGCCAGCAGCCGCGGUAAUACGUAGGUCCCGAGCGUUAUCCGGAUUUAUUGGGCGUAAAGCGAGCGCAGGCGGUUAGAUAAGUCUGAAGUUAAAGGCUGUGGCUUAACCAUAGUACGCUUUGGAAACUGUCAAACUUGAGUGCAGAAGGGGAGAGUGGAAUUCCAUGUGUAGCGGUG